CCCAUUAAUAUUGGGAUACAAAGCUUCUUAGGCAUCUAAGAAAUGUACAAUGAUAGAGCUCAAAAAGUCUCAAAAAAAGGUGAGAUCUCAUCGAAGGGAAGUAAGACACCUCUUUGGCUAAGAAAACCAAAUCCACUAUUUCAGCCAAGGUAUUUCAGCCUCUGACUGCUAUUCCUUACCUAACUUCUCCCAUUGGUUCCCCUGUUAGAGAGGCUAUUACUACUGUCGCUUCAACACCUGCGACCUCAGGCAUUUCUUGUUCACAUUUUCCUUUCCCCAAUCUCCAGUACCCCGAUAUUGAAGCUAUGGUUGGAACUCACCCAGAGAUAUUCCUAGAUUUCUUCAAGCACCAUCACUUUCCAAAGAUAUGAUCUCAUCUUUCCCUUUUACUAUUAGAGACUCAGCUAACCUACUAACAAGAAGCUGUAAUGAAAGAAAACAAAGGUUUUUGGAAGAGAUGUCUAUAGAUGAGGUAUGUAUUACUGCAAAGCUAUACAGUGAUCAUUCUGUUUUAUAUAUGAUGAAUGUGGCCAUGAAGAUAUGUUCCUCUUUUUCUUUUUUCUUUUUGAACUCUCUAUUGAAUAAUCAAAAUUGACUUGUUCAUAGGUCAAUGCUAAGAUUGAAAAAGUGGUUGCUUUGAGGAAUGAGGCCUUAGCUACUUUCUAGGUUGUUAAGGCUGACAAAGUCCAAAAGACAAAGGAGAAGAAAGAACAUGAGCAUAGACUUUGCACCUUGGAGGCCGAACUAAAGGCUAAGGUCGUUGUUAGGUCUAAGCUUGAGAAAGAGUUGGCAUCAACUAAGUUACAGAGUGAGGAGGCCAACAUUUGAGCUUACAAUGAAAAAUUGAAGGAUGAAGAGGAAUGAAAAAAUAUCGAUGAGGUAGAUGCUAGGACAAUCAAAGCCAUAGAGCUCUAGAAAGUGUUUCCAAAGUUCAACGCAUUGGCUCAGAAUGCCCACAUCGUCAGCUUGGUCGAGGUGAUAAUGCACAUAGAAAAAAUACAACUGUGUUUGCACUUCAUCAAAAGACAAAUAGUAGUCUUCAUGCCUUUUUGAUGUUUAUCUGUAAUACCUCUUUUAGUUAGGUUGAUCAAGAUAGGUCUUUUUAAUCUGGCCUCCCAAGCAU
rnacentral:lncRNA from 1 species